GUGUCCGUAGCUCAGCUGGAUAGAGCAACGGCCUUCUAAGCCGUGGGUCGGGGGUUCGAAUCCCUUCGGGCACACUA
rnacentral:tRNA from 2 species